rnacentral:rRNA from 1 species
UGGGGAAUUUUGGACAAUGGGCGAAAGCCUGAUCCAGCAAUGCCGCGUGUGUGAAGAAGGCCUUCGGGUUGUAAAGCACUUUUGUCCGGAAAGAAAUCCUUGGCUCUAAUACAGUCGGGGGAUGACGGUACCGGAAGAAUAAGCACCGGCUAACUACGUGCCAGCAGCCGCGGUAAUACGUAGGGUGCAAGCGUUAAUCGGAAUUACUGGGCGUAAAGCGUGCGCAGGCGGUUUGCUAAGACCGAUGUGAAAUCCCCGGGCUCAACCUGGGAACUGCAUUGGUAACUGGCAGGCUAGAGUAUGGCAGAGGGGGGUAGAAUUCCACGUGUAGCAGUGAAAUGCGUAGAGAUGUGGAGGAAUACCGAUGGCGAAGGCAGCCCCCUGGGCCAAUACUGACGCUCAUGCACGAAAGCGUGGGGAGCAAACAGGAUUAGAUACCCUGGUAGUCCACGCCCUAAACGAUGUCAACUAGUUGUUGGGGGAUUCAUUUCCUUAGUAACGUAGCUAACGCGUGAAGUUGACCGCCUGGGGAGUACGUCGCAAGAUUAAAACUCAAAUGAAUUGACGGGGUC